GAUGAACGCUGGCGGCGUGCCUAAUACAUGCAAGUCGAGCGAACAGACGAGGAGCUUGCUCCUCUGACGUUAGCGGCGGACGGGUGGGUAACACGUGGAUAACCUACCUAUAAGACUGGGAUAACUUCGGGAAACCGGAGCUAAUACCGGAUAAUAUAUUGAACCGCAUGGUUCAAUAGUGAAAGACGGUUUUGCUGUCACUUAUAGAUGGAUCCGCGCCACAUUAGCUAGUUGGUAAGGUAACGGCUUACCAAGGCAACGAUGCGUAGCCGACCUGAGAGGGUGAUCGGCCACACUGGAACUGAGACACGGUCCAGACUCCUACGGGAGGCAGCAGUAGGGAAUCUUCCGCAAUGGGCGAAAGCUUGACGGAGCAACGCCGCGUGAGUGAUGAAGGUCUUCGGAUCGUAAAACUCUGUUAUUAGGGAAGAACAAAUGUGUAAGUAACUAUGCACGUCUUGACGGUACCUAAUCAGAAAGCCACGGCUAACUACGUG
rnacentral:rRNA from 1 species